rnacentral:lncRNA from 1 species
AAGAAUGUACCAGUGACUCAGAGGCAUCUGAAUGGUUCAAACAUCAAACAAUGAUCCCAAUGAUUGCAAAGACCAGUCCUGGAAUCUGUCAUAUCUGACAUCAAAACAUAAAGCUUCAAUGCCAAAUUGGAGACUCUUUCAGGUUCCUUUUCCCAGGUUAUAUAGUAACAACUACUUUGAGUUCAAUUGCUAUUAUUCUUCUAAUACAACUUACUUGGAGGACUUCACAAGUUUUGUCUGCAAAGAGCCUGUUGGCCACUAUAAGGGAGUAUUUUCUGUCUGGCUUGUUCAGCUUCCUGAGAAGCUUCAGGAAUCCCUGAUGGAUGCCUUUCUCUUUCUUCAAACCAAGUGCCUGAGUAGGAAAAGAUGAAACAUUAGCUCAGUGAUGAACCAUUUUGUUUCUAAAGGAAUUGUCGAGGUAACUGGAUGGCUCUGAGAGUAAAGUAUCUGAGGAUCUGAGGUAUAGUCUCACUACACACAGAAGAUGGGCCCAGUGAUGCAUGGAGGUCAUCCCAGCACUGGCAGGAACAGGGUCUGGAAAUCCUGCCUCUAUAUCUUCAUCCAGAGAUUUGCUUCUGCCAUCUUUAUUUAGUCAAAGAAAUUAUUAUGGAACCUCUACCUUCAUGUCACCUUUUAUGUGCAAAAAAAAAAGCAACAAUAAGAAUAACGACAAAAUUAAAA